rnacentral:rRNA from 1 species
GAUCCUGGCUUAGAAUCAACGCUGGCGGCGUGCCUAACACAUGCAAGUCGAACGAGAAAGUGGAGCAAUCCAUGAGUAAAGUGGCGCACGGGUGAGUAACACGUGACUAACCUACCCUGGAUGGGGGAUAACUGAGGGAAACCUUAGCUAAUACCGCAUAAUACCUACGGGUCAAAGGAGCAAUUCGCUCUGGAGGGGGUCGCGGCCGAUUAGUUAGUUGACGGGGUAAUGGCCCACCAAGACGAUGAUCGGUAUCCGGCCUGAGAGGGCGCACGGACACACUGGAACUGAAACACGGUCCAGACUCCUACGGGAGGCAGCAGUGGGGAAUUUUGCGCAAUGGGGGGAAACCCUGACGCAGCAACGCCGCGUGGAGGAUGAAGUCCUUCGGGACGUAAACUCCUUUCGAUCGGGACGAUUAUGACGGUACCGGAAGAAGAAGCCCCGGCUAACUUCGUGCCAGCAGCAGC